GAUCCUGGGCUCAGAUUGAACGCUGGCGGCAGGCCUAACACAUGCAAGUCGAACGGUAACAGGAAGCAGCUUGCUGCUUUGCUGACGAGUGGCGGACGGGUGAGUAAUGUCUGGGAAACUGCCUGAUGGAGGGGGAUAACUACUGGAAACGGUAGCUAAUACCGCAUAACGUCGCAAGACCAAAGAGGGGGGACCUUCGGGCCUCUUGCCAUCGGAUGUGCCCAGAUGGGAUUAG
rnacentral:rRNA from 1 species